GUGGGGAAUCUUGCGCAAUGGGCGAAAGCCUGACGCAGCCAUGCCGCGUGAAUGAUGAAGGUCUUAGGAUUGUAAAAUUCUUUCACCGGGGACGAUAAUGACGGUACCCGGAGAAGAAGCCCCGGCUAACUUCGUGCCAGCAGCCGCGGUAAUACGAAGGGGGCUAGCGUUGCUCGGAAUUACUGGGCGUAAAGGGCGCGUAGGCGGACAGUUUAGUCAGAGGUGAAAGCCCAGGGCUCAACCUUGGAAUUGCCUUUGAUACUGGCUGUCUUGAGUACGGGGGAGGUGAGUGGAACUCCGAGUGUAGAGGUGAAAUUCGUAGAUAUUCGGAAGAACACCAGUGGCGAAGGCGACUCACUGGCCCAAUACUGACGCUGAGGCGCGAAAGCGUGGGGAGCAAACAGGAUUAGAAACCCUUGUAGUCC
rnacentral:rRNA from 1 species